GUAGGUGGCAAGCGUUGUCCGGAAUUAUUGGGCGUAAAGCGCGCGCAGGCGGUUCUUUAAGUCUGAUGUGAAAGCCCACGGCUCAACCGUGGAGGGUCAUUGGAAACUGGAGAACUUGAGUACAGAAGAGGAAAGCGGAAUUCCACGUGUAGCGGUGAAAUGCGUAGAGAUGUGGAGGAACACCAGUGGCGAAGGCGGCUUUCUGGUCUGUAACUGACGCUGAGGCGCGAAAGCGUGGGAGCAAACAGGAUUAGAUACCCUGGUAGUCCACGCCGUAAACGAUGAGUGCUAAGUGUUAGGGGGUUUCCGCCCCCCUUAGUGCUGCAGCUAACGCAUUAAGCACUCCGCCUGGGAGUACGGCCGCAAGGCUG
rnacentral:rRNA from 1 species